rnacentral:rRNA from 1 species
AGAGUUGUAUCCUGGCUCAGAACGAACGCCGGCGGCAUGCCUAACACAUGCAAGUCGAACGAGAAAGCAUCUUCGGGUGUGAGUAGAGUGGCGAACGGGUGCGUAACACGUAGGUGACCUGCCGUUUGGAAGGGGACAACCCGAAGAAAUUCGGGCUAAUACCGUAUAAGAUCUAUAAAUUUGAAAGUAAUAGAUGAAAGAGUGCCUCUGCAUAUGCACUCACCGAACGAUGGGCCUGCGGGACAUUAGCUUGAUGGUGGGGUAACGGCCUACCAUGGCGACGAUGUCUAGCUGGCCUGAGAGGAUGAUCAGCCACACUGGAACUGAGACACGGUCCAGACUCCUACGGGAGGCAGCAGUGGGGAAUAUUGCGCAAUGGGCGAAAGCCUGACGCAGCAAUGCCGCGUGAGUGAGGAAGGCCCUAGGGUCGUAAAGCUCUGUCAGAUAGGAAAAACGGCAUGUGGUCCAAUAGGCCAUAUGUUUGAUGGUACUAUCAAAGGAAGCACCGGCUAACUUCGUGCCAGCAGCCGCGGUAAUACGAAGGGUGCAAGCGUUGUUCGGAUUUAUUGGGCGUAAAGCGCGCGCAGGCGGAUAAUUAAGCCAGAUGUGAAAUCUCGGGGCUCAACCCCGAAACUGCGUCUGGAACUGAUUGUCUAGAAUCUCGAAGAGGGAAGGG